rnacentral:lncRNA from 1 species
CGGGGCCAAGGGAAAUCUCAGUCCUGCUCAAAGCUGCAGACCCUCCUGAACAUGACAGAUUCGAAGGCUGUGAGGGACUUGAAGAACUGCUGCGCCUCGCCUGCUCGUCUGGUGUUAUGAAGCCCACCUUCCUGCUGCUCCGCCUGGUCAUUAACAUCACCAGG